rnacentral:rRNA from 1 species
GAUGAACGCUAGCGGGAGGCCUAACACAUGCAAGCCGAGCGGUAUUUGUUCUUCGGCCCAGCGAGAGCGGCGCACGGGUGCGGAACACGUGUGCAACCUGCCUUUAUCUGGGGGAUAGCCUUUCGAAAGGAAGAUUAAUACCCCAUAAUAUAUUGAGUGGCAUCAUUUGAUAUUGAAAACUCCGGUGGAUAGAGAUGGGCACGCGCAAGAUUAGAUAGUUGGUGAGGUAACGGCUCACCAAGUCAAUGAUCUUUAGGGGGCCUGAGAGGGUGAUCCCCCACACUGGUACUGAGACACGGACCAGACUCCUACGGGAGGCAGCAGUGAGGAAUAUUGGACAAUGGGUUAGCGCCUGAUCCAGCCAUCCCGCGUGAAGGACGACGGCCCUAUGGGGUGUAAACUUCUUUUGUAUAGGGAUAAACCUACUCUCGUGAGAGUAGCUGAAGGUACGAUACGAAUAAGCACCGGCUAACUCCGUGC